UGGGGAAUUUUGGACAAUGGGGGCAACCCUGAUCCAGCCAUCCCGCGUGUGCGAUGAAGGCCUUCGGGUUGUAAAGCACUUUUGGCAGGGAAGAAACAGCCUGGGAUAAUACCCCGGGCGACUGACGGUACCUGCAGAAUAAGCACCGGCUAACUACGUGCCAGCAGCCGCGGUAAUACGUAGGGUGCAAGCGUUAAUCGGAAUUACUGGGCGUAAAGCGUGCGCAGGCGGUUCGGAAAGAAAGGUGUGAAAUCCCAGGGCUUAACCUCGGAACUGCACUUUUAACUACCGAGCUAGAGUACGUCAGAGGGGGGUAGAAUUCCACGUGUAGCAGUGAAAUGCGUAGAGAUGUGGAGGAAUACCGAUGGCGAAGGCAGCCCCCUGGGAUGAUACUGACGCUCAUGCACGAAAGCGUGGGGAGCAAACAGGAUUAGAUACCCUGGUAGUCCACGCCCUAAACGAUGUCAACUAGCUGUUGGGGUUUAUUAACCUUAGUAGCGCAGCUAACGCGUGAAGUUGACCGCCUGGGGAGUACGG
rnacentral:rRNA from 1 species